rnacentral:rRNA from 1 species
UACGUAGGGUGCAGGCGUUAAUCGGAAUUACUGGGCGUAAAGCGUGCGCAGGCGGUUUGCUAAGACAGGUGUGAAAUCCCCGGGCUUAACCUGGGGACUGCGCUUGUUACUGGCAGGCUUGAGUGUGGCAGAGGGGGGUGGAAUUCCACGUGUAGCAGUGAAAUGCGUAGAGAUGUGGAGGAACACCGAUGGCGAAGGCAGCCCCCUGGGCUAACACUGACGCUCAUGCACGAAAGCGUGGGGAGCAAACAGG